rnacentral:misc_RNA from 1 species
GUAUUGUAUUGCGUUAAACGCGGCAUACAUUCCAUGAGACUUUAUUACAGUGUGUGUGUGUGUAAAGCAUAGAACCACAGCAGGGGGGACAGAGCCCCCACGGCUAUAGAACUAUGGAGGGUGCACAGGUGUGAGUGGAUGUGCAACAGAGCGUGCACAUGCCCCCAUUUGAGGACCAGCAACAACUCGUGUCGACGGUUCGGUAAUGAUCCUUCCGCAGGUUCACCUACGGAAA